rnacentral:misc_RNA from 1 species
GAUGAAGAACGUAGCGAAAUGCGAUAAGUAAUGUGAAUUGCAGAAUUCAGUGAAUCAUCGAAUCUUUGAACGCACAUUGCGCCCGCCAGUAUUCUGGCGGGCAUGCCUGUCUGAGCGUCAUUUCAACCCUCAUGCCCCUAGGGCGUGGUGUUGGGGAUCGGCCAAAGCCCGCGAGGGACGGCCGGCCCCUAAAUCUAGUGGCGGACCCGUCGUGGCCUCCUCUGCGAAGUAGUGAUAUUCCGCAUCGGAGAGCGAUGAGCCCCUGCCGUUAAACCCCCAACUUUCCAAGGUUGACCUCAGAUCAGGUAGGAAUACCCGCUGAACUUAAGUAUAUCAAUAAGCGGAGGA